UCCUCAAACAGGGACCCCGAGGAUGAUGGC
rnacentral:piRNA from 1 species